rnacentral:misc_RNA from 1 species
CUUUUCGCUUCUCAUUGAUUCUGAGGCAAAGGCUGCACAAGAAAUCAUAUGUGAGAAAAAUUCAAUUUUAACAAGGUAUGUACGGAUAAAAAUCCAGUAAAAUUGAAGUUGAAGUUGAUAUAUGGAUCUAUGUUAUAUCGCUUUUGAUUCUCAAUCUUGACCGUUGCCGUGCUCAAGAAAAAAAAUGCGUUCUUUUGUGUUUUUGUUGACGCCUGUUGUUUAGUAGCUUUUUUAAGCUAAAAUUGAAAAAAGUUGCUGUUUUUGAUGUGAAGGAAUGUUUUUUGGGAGUAGGUUGGAGGUAAUGUUUUUUGGGAGUAGGUUGGAGGU